UGAGGAACAUGACCUUCGGCGGGGGAUAGCCGGCCCAACGGCCGGGUAAUACCGCGUACGACCUUCCGGGGACAUCCCUGGAUGGUGAAAGCAGCAAUGCGCCGAUGGAGUGCCUCGCGGCCUAUCAGCUAGUUGGUGAGGUAACGGCUCACCAAGGCGACGACGGGUAGCUGGUCUGAGAGGAUGGCCAGCCACAUUGGGACUGAGACACGGCCCAGACCUCCGUACGGGAGCAG
rnacentral:rRNA from 1 species